rnacentral:lncRNA from 1 species
CAUGACUAAGUGGCUUAACCCCAAUUAUGCCGUGGACACCCGCGAAUGGGGUGACUUUGACAUAAUCAAAGAUUAAGUACUUAGCCACAAGACAACGACGAUGCCUCAGGUCAAAGGACUACUUACAUUAUUCCAACCAUUAGAGUUACUUGCUUGACAUGUGAGUAGACCUCCAUGCAAGUACUCUCGUUCGAUUGUGUUUAGUGAACUCAUUCCCUUAAUGAGCACCUACAUACUUGUCUUAGUGUCACCACACGAAUGGGAUGAGACUUUCCAUCCUUCCAUUUGAAGCAGACACAAUAUGUACCGGUCUAAGCAUUGUCAGUAUCCCUCCGACAAUCCAAUGACCAGGAACCUUUUUGGACAUUAUGGUUAUGUGAAGAACGUCUCUGUAGUCUAACAUCAUUAGAUUACUUCUUCAAUCGAUCCAUUGUCCAUGGAUUCACUAU